CUAAGGUCCCCUAGUAACUGCGAGUGAAGCGGGAAAAGCUCAAAUUUGAAAUCUGGCGGUUCUGCCGUCCGAGUUGUAUUCUGGAGAAGCGUUUUCUGUGCCGGACCGUGUACAAGUGCCUUGGAACAGGACGUCAUAGAGGGUGAGAAUCCCGUCUCUGACACGGACCCCCCGGUGCUCUGUGAUGCGCUCUCGAAGAGUCGAGUUGUUUGGGAAUGCAGCUCAAAACGGGUGGUAAAUUCCAUCUAAAGCUAAAUAUUGGCGAGAGACCGAUAGCGAACAAGUACCGUGAGGGAAAGAUGAAAAGCACUUUGGAAAGAGAGUAAAACAGUACGUGAAAUUGUUGAAAGGGAAACGCUUGAAGUCAGUCGCGUCUGCCGGAACUCAGCCUUGCUUCUGCUUGGUGCACUUUCCGGUCCGACGGGCCAGCAUCGGUUUCGUGCGGCGGACACGGGUGGGAGGAAGGUGGCGGCCCUGGCCGCGUUAUAGCCUCCCAUCGCAAACGUCGCGUGGGACCGAGGAAUCCGGCGCAAGCCUGGGAUGCUGGCGUAAUGGCUUUAAACGACCCGUCUUGAAACACGGACCAAGGAGUGCUACGUGCUCGCGAGUGUUUGGGUGGAAAACCCAGGCGCGCAAUGAAAGUGAAAGUCGAUACCCCUUGCGGGGGCACCGACGCCCGAGCCUGAUGUUUUCGGACGGCCUUGCGGUAGAGCGAGUGCGUUGCGACCCGAAAGAUGGUGAACUAUUCCUGAGGAGGGCGAACCAGAGGAAACUCUGGUGGAGCUCGUACGGUUCUGACGUGCAAAUCGAUCGCAGACUUGGGUAUAGGGGGCGAAAGACUAAUCGAACCAUCUAGUAGCUGGUUCCUGCCGAAUUCCCUCAAA
rnacentral:rRNA from 1 species